GACGAACCGUCCAAACGUUAUUCGGAAUUACUGGGCUUAAAGGGUGCGUAGGCGGCGCGGAAAGUUGGGUGUGAAAUCCCUCGGCUCAACCGAGGAACUGCGCCCAAUACUACCGUGCUUGAGGGAGAUAGAGGUGAGCGGAACUUAGGGUGGAGCGGUGAAAUGCGUUGAUAUCCUAAGGAACACCGGUGGCGAAAGCGGCUCACUGGAUCUCUUCUGACGCUGAGGCACGAAAGCUAGGUAGCG
rnacentral:rRNA from 1 species